AACGCGAAGAACCUUACCUGGGCUUGACAUGUGCCUGACCGCCCUGGAAACAGGGUUUCCCUUCGGGGCAGGUUCACAGGUGGUGCAUGGCUGUCGUCAGCUCGUGUCGUGAGAUGUUGGGUUAAGUCCCGCAACGAGCGCAACCCCCGUCGCAUGUUGCCAGCAUUUAGUUGGGGACUCAUGCGAGACUGCCGGUGACAAACCGGAGGAAGGUGGGGAUGACGUCAAGUCAUCAUGCCCCUUAUGUCCAGGGCUACACACGUGCUACAUUGGCGCGUACAGAGGGCUGCGAUACCGCGAGGUGGAGCGAAUCCCUUAAAGCGCGUCUCGGUUCGGAUUGCAGGCUGAAACUCGCCUGCAUGAAGGCGGAGUUGCUAGUAAUCGCGGAUCAGCAUUGCCGCGGUGAAUACGUUCCCGGGCCUUGUA
rnacentral:rRNA from 1 species